rnacentral:rRNA from 1 species
UACAGAGGAGCCAAGCGUUGUCCGGAUUGACUGGGCGUAAAGCGCACGCAGGCGGUUGCGCGCGUGGGGUGUGAAAUCUGGCCGCUUAACGGCCAGGCGCCAUCCCAUACGGCGCGACUGGAGGCUUGCAGAGGUCGGUGGAAUUGCCGGUGUAGUGGUGAAAUGCGUAGAUAUCUGGAGGAAUACCGGUGGCGAAGGCGGCAUCCUGGACCGACAUUGACGCUGAACGGCGAAAGCUAGGGGAGCAAACGGG